GACGAACCGUACGAACGUUAUUCGGAAUCACUGGGCUUAAAGGGUGCGUAGGCGGCGCAGAAAGUUGGGUGUGAAAUCCCUCGGCUCAACCGAGGAACUGCGCCCAAAACUACUGUGCUCGAGGGAGACAGAGGUGAGCGGAACUUAGGGUGGAGCGGUGAAAUGCGUUGAUAUCCUAAGGAACACCGGUGGCGAAAGCGGCUCACUGGGUCUCCUCUGACGCUGAGGCACGAAAGCUAGGGUAGCGAACGGG
rnacentral:rRNA from 1 species